rnacentral:snoRNA from 1 species
UGCCCCCUGGCAAUGAGCAAAGAGACAACUUGGUGGUGGUGUUGCUCUUACAUCAAUCAGGAGCAGAGAAAAUGGCAGGCCUAUAUUCAUCUUAGCUUGAUACCUGGCUGGUGGACAAAGCUGUUUUAUGCCUAGGACUCGAAA